AAACUGGCAGACCUUUCUCUUCGGAUUCAACAAAUUGAAACAACUCUCAAUAUUUUAGAUGCGAAGCUGUCAUCUAUCCCAGGCCUAGAGGAUGUCACAGUUGACAUGUCUCCUUUAAGUGUCACUGCUGUCACAAAUGGAUCACAUUCUGAAACCACUGCUGAGCAACUGCAGCAGAACAGCACGCAAGACUCCGGAGUACAACAAGGUGAAGCGCCAUCAGAAAAUGUCCUAACUGUAGCCAAGGACCCACGAUAUGCCAGAUACCUCAAGAUGGUUCAAGUGACCUAUCAUAAUUUACAACUUAGAACACAGUGACUCCACCUCAUGGAAAAUGGUUGUUUCAGGGGGCUGCUUUGGGUGUUCCGGUGAUGGCAAUCAGAGACAAGAUGAUCUCAGAAGGACUAGACCCAGAGCUACUGGAGAAGCCAGAUGCUCCGGUGCCGAGUGGCGAGAGUGAAAAAGCCAUAGAAGAAAGUUCAGAGAGUGAGUCUUCCUUCAGUGACUAAGCUGUGAGAAUCACAGAACGUGGAAGGGUGGAUUUAUGUUCUAGGAACGAGCGUAAACUCUAGCUCUCGGUGAGAGAAAUCACCACAUGCUAUGCUACAUACCUACCCCAGCCUUCCUGUUUAAAAAUGAUAAUAAAGCAUUUAUAAUCUUUC
rnacentral:lncRNA from 1 species